rnacentral:rRNA from 1 species
AACAAACGCUGGCGGCGUGCCUAAUACAUGCAAGUCGAACGGGGAAAGCUUUCGGGUGAGUACUAGUGGCGCACGGGUGAGUAACGCGUGGAUAAUCUGCCUUAGAGUGGGGGAUAAGUAGGCGAAAGAUUAGCUAAUACCGCAUAAGACCACAAGAACUGCGGUUCAAGGCGUCAAAGGUUUUUCGCUCUAAGAUGAGUCCGCGUAAGAUUAGCUAGUUGGUAGGGUAACGGCCUACCAAGGCGACGAUCUUUAACUGGUCUGAGAGGAUGAUCAGUCACACUGGAACUGAGACACGGUCCAGACUCCUACGGGAGGCAGCAGUAGGGAAUAUUGCACAAUGGAGGAAACUCUGAUGCAGCGACGCCGCGUGAGUGAUGAAGGCCUUCGGGUCGUAAAGCUCUGUCGCAGGGGAAUAACACAAUGAAGGUACCCUGUAAGAAAGGAUCGGCUAACUUCGUGCCAGCAGCCGCCGUAAGAC